UACAGAGGGUGCGAGCGUUGUCCGGAAUCACUGGGCGUAAAGGGCGCGUAGGUGGCGCUCCAAGUCCGUGGUGAAAGCUCGAUGCUCAACAUCGAGUCGGCCACGGAGACUGGAGGGCUCGAGCACUGUAGGGGCAGAUGGAAUUCCGGGUGUAGCGGUGGAAUGCGUAGAGAUCCGGAAGAACACCGGUGGCGAAGGCGGUCGACUGGGCCAGUACUGACGCUGAGGCGCGACAGCGUGGGGAGCAAACAGG
rnacentral:rRNA from 1 species